rnacentral:misc_RNA from 1 species
AGGAAAUGAAGUUUCUCCAGAGCCAUUGCCACUGGGAAGGUUAGGCGUUUGAGGAUCCUGCAUGUCAACAUUGUUUGUUGCCUUCCGAAAUCCCAUAACAAGCUUUCCUCCAGGAUCUAUUCGACUGAAUAUCACAGUAUCACCAGCUUGCAAUUGCAUAUUCUGUAUACAAGGGGUAACACCCUCCAAAACAUACAUCCGGCUGUUGUUAUUGGGCCAAAAUCGAAAUUGAAAUGUCCACUCUUUACCCUUAAUAUCCUGAAUCCUUAUAGGUAGACCCUCUGAUUGGUUAAUUGGAGGGAAG